rnacentral:rRNA from 1 species
GAUGAACGCUGGCGGCGUGCCUAAUACAUGCAAGUCGAGCGAAUGGAUUAAGAGCUUGCUCUUAUGAAGUUAGCGGCGGACGGGUGAGUAACACGUGGGUAACCUGCCCAUAAGACUGGGAUAACUCCGGGAAACCGGGGCUAAUACCGGAUAACAUUUUGAACCGCAUGGUUCGAAAUUGAAAGGCGGCUUCGGCUGUCACUUAUGGAUGGACCCGCGUCGCAUUAGCUAGUUGGUGAGGUAACGGCUCACCAAGGCAACGAUGCGUAGCCGACCUGGGGGGGUGAUCGGCCACACUGGGACUGAGACACGGCCCAGACUCCUACGGGAGGCAGCAGUAGGGAAUCUUCCGCAAGGGACGAAAGUCUGACGGAGCAACGCCGCGUGAGUGAUGAAGGCUUUCGGGUCGUAAAACUCUGUUGUUAGGGAAGAACAAGUGCUAGUUGAAUAAGCUGGCACCUUGACGGUACCUAACCAGAAAGCCACGGCUAACUACGUGCCAGCCGCCGCAGUAA